CAGUCCGUGGAUAAUCUGCAGUCGAAACCUGGCAACAAUGCAACCCUGUCAGCAUUCAUAAUUCUGCCACCGCAGUGUUCGCGAGUGAUGUGCCGAAUAUGCAAAGCAAUGAAAACCGACUAAAACCAAGUAUUAUAGCGACCCUCUCACACGAAUUAUGUAUAUGUCUCAUACAUACAAACAUAAGUGGACACUUGUCACAUGCGAUCAUUUGUGGCAUUAUGUAGUUCGGCGUUUCUCACCAUUGGCGCUAACCAGCAUGUCAGGGGCUAUUACCUAACAAAGCAACACACAUGCGGAGUGAGCGUAAGCACUUGCUAUACAUGCGUUGCCAACUGACCCGGAACUGACAAAUUAGGCUUUGACCAGGAGAGCAGGAGAGACCAGAAACUAUUCUAUUAAAUUCAAGCAGCUCAUGACUUCUGGUCUUAGAUCAAGUAUCCUCUGGUCAGCCAAAAAUCAUCCGUUUGAAGGCAAGCUGAAGUGAGAAGGCGAACCAUCCCUCCUAAGGGUUGUGCGCUGAGUUUGGGACCGCCAGGUAAAAAUCAGCCCCACAUAAAAUGAUACAACAGCCUCUGAUGAAAUACUCCCCUUAUUGAAAAGUAUUCUUUCGAAGAACAAAAACCCAAUUCUUCAAGUUACUCAUCAUCGCCGUCCUACUACAUGGUGCAUAGUCAUGAACGUUGAGUCGGGGUUAGUGGUUUUCGUGAUAGAAAGUUCUGCGGAAGAUUUAUGGUCCUUUGCGCAUUGGCAACGACGAAUACCACAGUCGAUGGAACGAUGAGAUGUACGACACAUACGAUGAUAUUGACAGAGUUCAGCGAACGAAGAGACAAUGGAUACGCUGGC